rnacentral:misc_RNA from 1 species
GUCCUUCACCUUUGUGAUGGCCUCAUCACGCAACUGACUCUUCGCCUCGCCUGCGCUUCCCCAUCACACAAUCGACUUCCUCGCCUAAGCUAUUUUCAAGAUUGUUUUGAGUGUUGUAUUAUAUAUAUACAGGUAUUUUAGAUUCGUUGAUUUGUAUUGUAAUCACCUAAAUUUGCAAAUGUGUGUUGUGUUGUUUAUUGCAGAUUUGUUAUAUUUUUUAGGUAAAAAUGUGUUUGAGUUAAUUGAGAAUUUUAUUUUGAGUUGUCUAUCUUUUGGUGAUUUUUAGUUUGUGAUGGUGAAUUUAAGAUUUGC